rnacentral:rRNA from 1 species
GGAGGAAAGCAGGGGAUCGCAAGACCUUGCGCUUUUGGAGCGGCCGAUGCCUGAUUAGCUUGUUGGUGAGGUAAAAGCUCACCAAGGCUCCGAUCAGUAGCUGGUCUGAGAGGACGACCAGCCACACUGGGACUGAGACACGGCCCAGACUCCUACGGGAGGCAGCAGUGGGGAAUUUUGGACAAUGGGGGCAACCCUGAUCCAGCCAUGCCGCGUGAGUGAAGAAGGCCUUCGGGUUGUAAAGCUCUUUCAGCCGGAACGAAACGGUCACGGUUAAUACCCGUGACUACUGACGGUACCGGAAGAAGAAGCACCGGCUAACUACGUGCCAGCAGCCGCGGUAAUACGUAGGGUGCGAGCGUUAAUCGGAAUUACUGGGCGUAAAGCGUGCGCAGGUGGUUUUGUAAGUCAGAUGUGAAAUCCCCGGGCUUGACCUGGGAACUGCGUUUGAAACUACAAAGCUAG